rnacentral:lncRNA from 1 species
GCUGCAAUGGAGGCCAUUAAUUAAAAAAGAGAGAAAUAAUUGAGGUGCCAUUUUGCAUCGCUUUUAUUUUUUUCUAUUUUUAGAAUUCUAAAAAUAAAAAUUCUGUUUCUACUGUAUCUAAUUUUUAAAAACAUAAACUUGUUUGGUAUGAUUAAUUAUUUUUAAAACAAAAAUAUUAAUGGUGAUGGAAAUAGUAGUGACUGGAGUAGAGGUAGUGAGGCGAUGAUUGUACUGAUGGAAGGUAUGGUAUAGCACAAGUGAUGAAGAUGGCAUCGGCUAUAUGGUAGAGACAGUGAUGGUUGUGGGCCUCGUGGCAGCAAUAAUAGCGACAUUGGUGAUGCUAGCUGUGGCAGGAACAAUAGUAGUAUAAGGGUACCAACGAUGUGGUAGAGGUAAUGGUUAUGGUAGCGGGGUGGUGGAGACAGUGAUGGUAGUAAUACUGAUGGUAAUAGUAGCAGUAGUCAAGAUGCCAGCAAUGUGGCAGAGUUGGCAAUGAUAGCAGUAAUAUGUUUUUUUUAAUGCAAGGGAUGCAGAGAUAGCUACCUGAUUUUUAUAGAUAUUAGAAAAAAAAUUACAACCCAAACUCUCCCAAAUUCUAACAAAGAUCCUGAUCACAUAAUGUAGACCUGUCAUUGAAGGUGUGAAGUCCUUUUGAGGCUAUAGCCACAACAAUUGAAUGUUUAACAAGCAAAAUCCUAAAAUUCCAUUCUUUCCAACAUGCCCAUACAAUAGCUACGAGAAGCAUAAGAACAACUAAUUGAACUUUUUUCUAAAGUUCCUCUAAAUCCAGUCGGGACAAUGGUAAUUAAAAGAGGAUUGAGAAUGUAGCACCCUAAGAGCCAAGCAUAUAUUCAUC